AGAUUGAACGCUGGCGGCAUGCUUUACACAUGCAAGUCGAACGGCAGCACGGGGGCGGAACCCUCGGUGGCGAGUGGCGAACGGGUGGAGUAAUAGCAUCGGAACGUAUCCUUCGAGUGGGGGAGUAACGGCAGCGGAAAAGUUGUGCUAAUACCGCAUAAGCUCUGAAGGAGGGAAAGACGGGGGACCCGAAAGGCCUCGCGCUGAAGGAGCGGCCGAUGUCCGAUUAGCUAGUUGGUGGAGGUAAAGGCUUACCAAGGCGACGAUCGGUAGCUGGUCUGAGAGGAUGAUCAGCCGCACUGGGACUGAGACACGGCCCAGACUCCUACGGGCGGCAGC
rnacentral:rRNA from 1 species